CACCAGACUCCUACGGGAGGCAGCAGUGGGGGAUAUUGCACAAUGGGGGGAACCCUGAUGCAGCGACGCCGCGUGGGUGAAGAAGUAUUUCGGUAUGUAAAGCCCUAUCGGCAGGGAAGAAAUUGGACGGUACCUGACUAAGAAGCCCUGGCUAACUACGUGCCAGCAGCCGCGGUAAUACGUAGGGGGCAAGCGUUAUCCGGAUUCACUGGGUGUAAAGGGAGCGUAGACGGCCAUGCAAGCCUGGAGUGAAAGCCCGGGGCCCAACCCCGGGACUGCUCUGGAAACUGUAAAGCUGGAGUGCGGGAGGGGCAGGCGGAAUUCCUGGUGUAGCGGUGAAAUGCGUAGAUAUCAGGAGGAACACCGGCGGCGAAGGCGGCCUGCUGGACCGUAACUGACGUUGAGGCUCGAAAGCGUGGGGAGCAAACAGGAUUAGAUACCCCAGUA
rnacentral:rRNA from 1 species